rnacentral:lncRNA from 10 species
GUCCAGAUCAAGGGUAGGAAUGCUCAUGAGAGCAACAAUCAUAGAGGAUAACAGAGGUCAUACCUGAUGUCAUCUGAGAGGAGAGAUGUUACUCCUAUUCUUACUACGGUCCAUUCAAGGGCAUUUUGAUGGGUAUAUACCUGAUAUAAUGCAGAAGCAUGAAAGGAGCCCCACAUGCAGCAAAAUUGAAAAGAAAGAGAGGAAAAAGAAAAGGAGAAAAAGAAACAGGAAAAUUGGAAGGGGUGGACAAUCCCACUUACCCAGACCCAUGCCUGGAAUUUAAUGAAGCACUUUCUUCUCAAAUCUGGCUUUCCUCCUGACCCUCCCAAUUUCUCUCAAACGGCGAGGAGAAAGAAGAAAUACCCAUCGACGUUGAAUCAUGUUUGGCGGAGAAAUAAGCUUGUUUUACCACUGUUUGUCAUUGGAAUUAUCUUACAUUAAAA